GUCAUUCCCUCUAGAUGAGAGCAGAUC
rnacentral:piRNA from 1 species